rnacentral:rRNA from 1 species
UGGGGAAUUUUGGACAAUGGGCGAAAGCCUGAUCCAGCAAUGCCGCGUGUGUGAAGAAGGCCUUCGGGUUGUAAAGCACUUUUGUCCGGAAAGAAAUCCUCUGGGUUAAUACCUCGGGGGGAUGACGGUACCGGAAGAAUAAGCACCGGCUAACUACGUGCCAGCAGCCGCGGUAAUACGUAGGGUGCAAGCGUUAAUCGGAAUUACUGGGCGUAAAGCGUGCGCAGGCGGUUUUGUAAGACGGAUGUGAAAUCCCCGGGCUUAACCUGGGAACUGCAUUCGUGACUGCAAGGCUAGAGUAUGGCAGAGGGGGGUAGAAUUCCACGUGUAGCAGUGAAAUGCGUAGAGAUGUGGAGGAAUACCGAUGGCGAAGGCAGCCCCCUGGGCCAAUACUGACGCUCAUGCACGAAAGCGUGGGGAGCAAACAGGAUUAGAUACCCUGGUAGUCCACGCCCUAAACGAUGUCAACUAGUUGUUGGGGAUUCAUUUCCUUAGUAACGUAGCUAACGCGUGAAGUUGACCGCCUGGGGAGUACGGUCGCAAGAUUAAAACUUAAAUGAAUUGACGGGGUCAUAGCUGUUUCC